rnacentral:misc_RNA from 1 species
AAAAACUCCAAAUGAAAUCCCUCAAUUUAGCAAAACUUGGAACUUUUAACUUAGUAGUUUCCAUCAGCAGAAGAGAGGGAACAAUGGAAGCCGGUACUUUUCUCAGAGCUCUGAAUCCUUUCAAAUUCAGAGCAAAAUUUUCUGGGUCAUACACAACUCGCUGUUCUUCCUCUUCUUCCUCUAUCAAGAUUCCCACUGGGGCAGGGAAAGAAAUGGGGAGGAGAGCAUAUGAUGGAUUGUUGUUGGAUGCAGCAAAUACACUUUUGCAAUUGUCAAAGCCAGUUGAAGAGACUUAUGCUGGGAUUGGCAAGAAAUAUGGAUGAUGGACGGCCUUUCUGGAA